UACGAAGGGGCUAGCGUUGCUCGGAAUCACUGGGCGUAAAGGGUGCGUAGGCGGGUCUUUAAGUCAGGGGUGAAAUCCUGGAGCUCAACUCCAGAACUGCCUUUGAUACUGAGGAUCUUGAGUUCGGGAGAGGUGAGUGGAACUGCGAGUGUAGAGGUGAAAUUCGUAGAUAUUCGCAAGAACACCAGUGGCGAAGGCGGCUCACUGGCCCGGUACUGACGCUGAGGUGCGAAAGCGUGGGGAGCAAACAGGGA
rnacentral:rRNA from 1 species